rnacentral:rRNA from 1 species
UGAUCAUGGCUCAGGACGAACGCUGGCGGUGUGCUUCACACAUGCAAGUCGAACGAGGUAGCAAUACCUAGUGGCGGACGGGCGAGUAACGCGUGGGAAUCUGCCUUUAGAUGGGGGAUAACGAGCCGAAAGGUUCGCUAAUACCGCAUAGGUCGCAAGAUUAAAGGAGUAAUCCGUCUAGAGAUGAGCCCGCGUCCGAUUAGCUAGUUGGUAGGGUAAAGGCCUACCAAGGCGACGAUCGGUAGCUGGUCUGAGAGGAUGAUCAGCCACAAUGGGACUGAGACACGGCCCAUACUCCUACGGGAGGCAGCAGUGGGGAAUUUUACGCAAUGGGCGAAAGCCUGACGUAGCGACACCGCGUGAGCGAAGAAGCCCUUUGGGGUGUAAAGCUCUGUCGGCUGGAACGAAAAAAAUGACGGUACCAGCAAAGGAAGCAUCGGCUAACUACGUGCCAGCAGCCGCGGUAAGACGUAGGAUGCGAGCGUUGUCCGGAUUUAUUGGGCGUAAAGAGUUCGUAGGUGGCUUGUCAAGUUUGAUGUUAAAGAUCGGGGCUCAACCCUGGGACUGCAUUGAAUACUGGCAGGCUUGAGUGUGGUAGAGGCUAGUGGAAUUCCCAGUGUAGCGGUGAAAUGCGUAGAUAUUGGGAAGAACACCGGUGGCGUAGGCGACUAGCUGGGCCAUAACUGACACUGAGGAACGAAAGCCAGGGUAGCGAAUGGGAUUAGAUACCCCAGUAGUCCUGGCCGUAAACGAUGGAUACUAGGCGUAUCGGGUAUCGACCCCUGAUGUGCCGCAGCUAACGCGAUAAGUAUCCCGCCUGAGUAGUACGGCCGCAAGGUUGAAACUCAAAGGAAUUGACGG